GCCCGGCUAGCGCAAUGGUAGCGCGUAAGACUUCUACUUUUCUCUCUGAUAAUUUCCUGAUAAGGAAAUAAGUAAAUAAGGGAAGACAAUCGUGAUCUUAAGGCUGUGGGUUCGAGUCCCACGUCGGGCC